rnacentral:lncRNA from 1 species
AAUAAUAAGAAAAAGUAAAAGGAGAAAUAAUACUAAACAGUAAAUCCCACUAAACAGUUUAGUAAAUAAUACUAAACAGCAUAAAAUAAAAUUAAAACAAUGAAUAGUAGUAGUAAUUGUAAUAAUAAUAAGAAGAAGAAGUAAAAGGAGAAGUAAUACUAAGCAGUAAAUCCCAUCCUGACUUUUCUAUUGAAAUCUUUUAGCCUGAAUUGCUAGUGUAAUUCUAUAUGGGAAGAGCUUAUUAUAUGUCAGACUUGUGCUACAAACUGGAGACACAUACAAAAAAAUUCAUGAGACAUUUUUCUUGUAAUUAUCGGGCAUAGAGUUUAGUAAGUGGAGGUGAAAUGUAAAAAUUGCUUGCUAAAAAUUGUUACUUUUGAUAUACUAUUUCCCCACAGAGGAACAAGACAAGAAGUAUGAAGACAAGAAUUCUACAUGUGCUGAGUGAAGAAAGUUUUCAGAGUAGGCAAUUCAAGAAGGAGAUACUCAGGUGAAGGUGAAAGAACACACAGCCAUCUAUAAACUUCAGCAUAAAAGAGCUGAAUAACAACACCAGUGUCCAUCAUCGUACCUCCCUGAAGGAAGAAGAACCAAAGCAGAGUUGGAAUAUCAUUGGUGAAAGGCAGCAGUCUCUCAGAAGAUUUUAGUUAUUGUGCAUUGGAAUGUAGCCUUAUAUGUGUCCUGUUGAAAACGUUCCGUCCUCUUGACCUCAUCAUAUCUGCAUUGACAUUCUGUUGGGAACAUGUGAUCACCAGCAGGACUAAUUUCCACUUUCUCAAUAUGUACUCCAUUCUUUCUGUAACUAAGCCUAU